rnacentral:rRNA from 1 species
UACAGAGGUGGCAAGCGUUGUUCGGAAUACUGGGCGUAAAGGGCGCGUAGGCGGUUCGUUAAGUCCUGUGUGAAAUCCCCCGGCUCAACUGGGGAACUGCACAGGAAACUAGCGGGCUUGAGUUCGGGAGAGGGAAGCGGAAUUUCCGGUGUAGCGGUGAAAUGCGUAGAGAUCCGGAGGAACACCAGUGGCGAAGGCGACACGCUGGGCCUACCUG